UAUUGGUGAAAUUUUUCUGGGAAAACAAGUUCAUGGGAAGGAUUUGGAAAAAGGCAAUGUACGAGUACGCAUAAUUGAAUGUUUGAAUGAAAAUGCUCGUCUUCCUGUCCAUGUUCGUGAUGAUUUAAUCUUCGUAAAAGAUGCAGUCCAAAGCUUUGUUGCAUGGCCGGAACACUUAAUCAUCUUUGGUGAUUCUGAGGCAUUAAAAACUAUGGAGAAAAAUGAACAUUUAUCUCCACACAUGCCAACUCAGAAAGCUUCAACAAGUUCGAUGAAUGUGAAAGACUCUCCUGUUCCAUUUGUUAUGCCCAAAAUCAUCCCAAGGAGCGUCAAAGCUAUAUUGUUAAGUGUUCAAUAUCGCAAAAGUAGAGAAGAGUAUCGUAUUGAAAUGGAUCCAAAUAUUUUUGGGUCUGAUCAAGAUUUGUAUAUUGAACCUAAAGAUAUAGUUCAUCUUGGCACAAAUGUUGAGAUUGGAGCUGAGUGUAUCGCAUUUUAUAUAAGGUAAGAGAUUUUUUUAUCAUAUUUUUUAAUCGCACACUUAAUAACAUUAUUUAAUUUGGUAUUGUUAUAAUGUUUAGGAUCUUACAUGAAAGGUUAAAAAAUUCAAAAAGAGAGAAGUAUUUUCAUUUUAUUCAUCCAAGUUGGGCUUCUAUAGUGGGAUCCUAUUUGCAGCAAAAUGUAGAAUCAAUAGCAGAUCGAUUAGCAAGCGCAGGGGAGAUGCAACUUUCAUUGAUCCCUAUUAAUUUAGGGUAAGAUUAACUUAAAUUAUUAUUUUAGCUAUAUAGUAAUAUAUUUAUAUAUUAAAAUUUUUUCUUCCAUCACUAGUUAUCAUUGGGUGCUAAUAAUAAUUGAUCCAUCACGUGAGAUGUGCUUCUGGCUCAAUCCAACUGGAGAACUACCAAGUGAUACCAUUAAGAAUUUUAUCGCAAUGUAAGUGAAUAAUAUUUAUCAUUAGUAUAAUAAGCAUCAAAUUAAAAUUUAUAUGUAAUAGUGUUGAUGUUAAUUUGUUUAUUAUUUAGGAUUUUUGACUAUUACAAUGCUUCAAAAAAGAAAACUCCAAGAGCAGCUGGUAUUAUAUGGAAAAUUAUAAAAGUGAGUAGUCUUUAUCUCUCAAAAUAUAUAAUAAAUUUUUGUAUUUCACAAAUAUUUAAUGAUUUUACAACAAAAUAUUACUUUUAAUUAUUUAUUUUAAGAGAUUCUUACACAUCUAUAUAAAUGUGCAGUGUCCUCGACAACCCAAACACUUUGAAUGUGGAUAUUAUGUUAUGAAAUACAUGCGGGAUUUAUGCAUGGAUUCAAGACCUCUCAAUUGGUUAAAUACUAAUUGCAACAAUAGAAUGGAGAAUUAUUACACAAAUGAAGAAAUUGAUGAAAUUCGAAUAGAGUGGGCCGAUGCAUUCAUAGAAUUGAUUUAAUAUUUUAUUAUGUUUUUAUUGAACAAAUGAAUCAUACUAUAUUCAUUAAUUAUUUAAUUUAUACAUUAUCAUUUUAUUUUAUUUGUUUAUAUUAAUAUUUUAGUUUAUCUUUUUUCUCUUCUAAAUUAUUUUUCAACACUCUUUAGAAGUUUCAAUAAAGCAACGAUAUAAGUUUUUAUUUUGUGAGAAAAUUAUAAUUCUACUCUUUAAAAUUUUUU